GGGCGAUUGGCGCAACUGGUCAGCGCAGGUGCCCUACACGCACAAGGCUGGGGGUUCGAGUCCCUCAUCGCCCA
rnacentral:tRNA from 1 species